GAUGGUCAGUGAGGGGGCGGGACUGCAGCUUAAAGGUCAGAGGUCAUCCUACCUGUCCCUCUGUGUGCUGUGACAUCACCUGGUCGACAUCAUGGCGGGUGUGUUGGUGAGCGGCUCGGUGAGCUCAAUCAAAGCUCUGUGGGAGACGAGGAUAAGGAGGAACCAGGAGGAGCAGAAGAGGAGCACCGAAAGGGGCGGGGCCACAGGCAGACUCGGGGUUGGUGUUUGGGAGGACCGGGCAGUUUUAGCUCGACUAAAGCAGAAGCUGCAGACUGAAGACGGGCGACUGAUCCUGCGAAUUGAACAGGAGGAGUGGAAGUCUCUGCCUAGCUGUCUAGUCCAGCUCAGUCAGGUCCAGGAGUGGCAGAUCCACCGGACCGGACUGCUGAAGAUUCCUCAUUUUAUCUCCAGCUUCCAGAACCUGCUGGUCCUCGAUCUGUCCCGGAAUGGGGUCACUGAGGUUCCGAAACAGAUUGGGAAGCUGACCCGUCUCAGAGAGCUGCUGCUGAGCUACAACAGGAUCCAGUUUGUCCCUGAAGAGCUGAGCGGCUGUGAGAGUCUGGAGAGACUCGAGCUGGCCAUGAACCGGGACUUGAGUGAGCUGCCUGACCAGCUGAGGAUGCUGACAAAGCUGCAGCACCUUGAUCUGUCCAUGAACAACUUCAGUGUCCUGCCGGACUGUGUGGUGGAUCUGCCAGCGCUCGAGUGGCUUGACAUGGGAGGAAACUGCCUCCAGCACUUACCUGAUGACAUACACAGGAUGCAGAAGCUGCACACUCUGUGGCUGCAGAGGAACGAGCUGGAGAGACUUCCAGAAAACAUCAGCAGGAUGGACAGUCUGGACACGCUGGUCCUCAGCAGCAACCGGCUCAGAGACAUCCCCCCUCUGAUGGAGGGCAUGUCCAUGCUCAGGUUUGUGAAUUUCCGGGACAACCCUCUAACUCUGGAUGUGACGCUGCCGUCCAGGACAGUCGAGGAUGACGAGGACGACAGGGAGAUGUUCGGACGAGAAUUCAUGCAGAUGUACAUCCAGGAGUCCAGAAAGAGAGCUUUCGCCGUCCUCAACAUGCACUGUGUCAACCGUUAGUAGCCAUGAGUCCUAGUGGAGCUGCUGGACAGUAACAUCCGUGGACGUUAACACUUUAACCCUGCACAGUGUGACAGUCUGGACUGAACCAGGACUCUAACCCGAGACCUUUAACUGGAACCUAAAACCCUCUGACUCCUUCUGUUCCUUCAGUUUAUUAAUCUGAGACGAACGACGAGUCCUCAGAUUAACCGAUCCGUCGUUUCUUCUUCAGCUGCAGCUUCACCUGGAAGAUUUCAGACCGAAACUGGUGUUUGUUCAGCUCCUGUUUGUUUCUUCCGCUUUAUUUCAGGUUUUCCAGCUUUGAACUGAUUCUAUUGAACUGGGUCAGAACCACAACUGCUUGUAUGACGUUUACUGAAACAGGAAACUGAAAAGGCUUUAAUACAAACUUUACAAAACAUUUGAACACAUUCAGUCUGGUUAAGAUUUUCAUUUUAGUAAAACAAUAAAAAGUUUUUUCAGAAA